UACGUAGGGUGCAAGCGUUGUCCGGAAUUAUUGGGCGUAAAGAGCUCGUAGGCGGUUUGUCGCGUCUGCUGUGAAAACCCGAGGCUCAACCUCGGGCCUGCAGUGGGUACGGGCAGACUAGAGUGCGGUAGGGGAGACUGGAAUUCCUGGUGUAGCGGUGAAAUUCGUAGAUAUCAGGAGGAACACCGAUGGCGAAGGCAGGUCACUGGGCCGCAACUGACGCUGAGGAGCGAAAAGCAUGG
rnacentral:rRNA from 1 species